GACGAACGCUGGCGGCGUGCUUAACACAUGCAAGUCGAGCGGUAAGGCUCCUUUGGGAGUACACGAGCGGCGAACGGGUGAGUAACACGUGAGCAAUCUGCCCUUCACUUCGGGAUAACUCCGGGAACCGGUGCUAAUACCGAAUACGACCACUUCAGGCUAUCUGAUGGUGGUGGAAAGUUCCGGCGGUGAAGGAUGAGCUCGCGGCC
rnacentral:rRNA from 1 species